GGGGAAAGAUGUGGAUCCAGAGAGACUCCCAGUGCCACAAAGCUUUAGUGGAUAUAGUUCUCAAUAAGAGGUGGCAGAAAGAUGUUCACAACUAUCUGCGAUUCAGAUCGACUGCAGACCUAGAGUCAUUCCAGAAUCAUAUCCUGAUGUAUGCCAGCAAGCGCUAUGCUUUCAGCCAACCAGUUUAGGAGGCAAGAGUUGUGCUUACUGCUUUGGACUACAAUUUCCACCGGAACCGACCAACAAUGAAAACGUUGGACGGCAAAGAGAUUUUCAAAAGAUUGUAUAAGAAGAACGCUAGAAGAUACAGCGUAUAUGCCUUGAAAUCUGAAAAAACCUACGGAUACAUUAACAAGUUACAAAGAAGGAUUGUGAAGAACAGACUGGUGGAGUGGGGAUGCCUAGAAGGAGGAGCCUUCUCCCAGAUGACCCCAGACAGCUUGGUUUGGUGCCCCCCGUACCUGCACCAGCCACAUCAGACUUGUUACAGAGACAAGUCAGAAGAGGUCUAGGACCGUUAUUCCAACCAGCAUCUGAUGUGGAAGGAUCCCCAUAGGGGAUCACCUUGCAUGUGUCCUGAUUCUUGUCAGGCAGGAUCACAAGUUAAAGAACUUCAG